CGCCUCCCCGGCCGUUCGGGGCCCUGCGUCGCCAUCUGGUGGCCUUGCCGGCAAAACGCGCCCGCAGGGAGGGGACGAAACGGGGCCCGUGGGGAGGGGGGAGGCGGGGUGGCCGCCACGGCCUUCGUCCCCGUCCCAUUACCCCCGGGACGCCCCCAUCCCAUUAGCCCCCCGGGACCCCGGAUCGUGGUCCUGUUGGUCCCGAGCGUUUCUCGUCCGACGAAGCCGCGUUAGGAGGAUUCACGGGACCCGAGCGGGCGUUCGUUUCCGCUGCUGUCGAUUCUCCGGGGCGGACGGAGGGGACCCCGCGGAGACGCAGGAUCGGGCCCCAGCGGCACAGGGCCCGUCUCAUUCUGUCAGCAGAGAGCGGAGGUGCCCAGGGCGCUGGAGCCGCGAGGCCGCUGGGUCCCGGGGUCCCGGGGCCGCCCCGGGAAAGGAGGCUGCGGGGACACGCGGGGCGGGAACGGCCGAAGGCGCCUCAGCUGCUCCUGGGAAAACCAACCCGAAACAAGUCGAAGGACCCCAGGACUGGUCAGGCAGGUCAGGGCCCGGGGGGCGCCCAGGGGAGCAAAGAGGGGCCGGUGCGCACCCCAGGGAGGGCGGGAGGGCGGGUCAGGGCCGGGCCUGGGGGCCGCGGGGACCCAGGACAGGGCCUGGCUAGGGUGAGCGUCCGACCUCCCGCCGCCUCCGCGCGGCCUCCCGGGGCCCCAGGCCGGUGCCGCCUCGCAGCGAGGGGCGCGGCAGACACGCGGGCGGCGCCCACCCCGGUCCCCCGACCUCUCGGCUGCCUGCGUGGCGGCCCCAGAAGCCGCUCCCCCGUGGAGGGCCGGUCGGGGCCCCUCCGCACGGACCCGCGGGGCUCAGGGGCCUCGGCUGAACGCACUCGGCGCGGCGGGGGCUGCAGGUCACACUCGCGGGCAGGCGGAACCCCCGCCCCAGCCCCGCGUUUGCCCGUGGCCGGGCCCCGGCACAGGCUGCAUCUCCCGUGACCCCGGCCUCCUUUCCGAGGUCCCGGCCGUUCCUGACCCGGACGCAGCAGGUGCUUCUCCUGACGGCCAGGAAGAGACUCAGGCGCCCCCGACCCGUGCGCACGGGCGCCCCGCGGGCCUGCUGACCCAGGGCUGGGGUCCCGGCCUUGUCUCACUCUGCUGCCUGGAUCCAGGAGUCAGCCCCACCCUAGGACAACCCCGUUUUCCUGGGGGCCCAACAGGACACGGAGGGGAUUCGGAAAAAGAAAGUUACUACCGAAACUCAUGCAAGGAGAAAUGGAUCAACUGAAUAGGCCUGGAUCAAAAAAACCGAAUUAUCUGGGCACAGUGGCACACUUCCAUAGUCCCAGUUACUUCACAGGCCGAGGAGGGAGAAUCACUUGAGCCCAGAAGUUCAAGUCCAGCCUGGACAACAGAGAUACCCCAUUUCUUUAAAAAAAAAAAAAAAAAAAAGGUGGGGGGAAGAAAUUAAGUACGUAAAUAAUAAUCUUCCAAACAAGAAAUAAGCAGAUGGUUCCACUGGUGAAUUCUACCAAACAUUUAAGGGGAGAAAUGAUACCAAUUCUCUACAAUUCUUCUAGAAAAUAGAAACAGCAAAAACACUUCCUAACUCACCCUGAGGCCAGCAUUACACUAACAAAACCAAAACUAGAUAAAGACAGAAAAAAGGAAGAUGCAUAUCAGUGUCUCUCUGAGCAUCAAUGCAAAACCUUGAAAUAAUGUUAACAAAUCGAAUGCAACAAUGUAUAAAAGGAGUCAUACAUAACUACCAAGGGGGAUUUACUCCAGGUGUGCAAGCCUGGCCCAACAUUUGAAAAUCAAUUAAUGUCAUCCACUUCGUUAAUGGGUUUCUGCAUCAGUUGAUAAGAUCCUAUGAUUUUCUUUGCUUCAUCCCCAGAUGAAGGAUCAGCUGCUGCAGAAAAAGCAGCAGAUGCAAUUCAGUACUCACUUAUGAUUAAAACUCUCAAAAAACUAGAAAUAAAAGAAAAUUU